CCUACGGGAGGCAGCAGUGAGGAAUAUUGGUCAAUGGGCGAGAGCCUGAACCAGCCAAGUCGCGUGAGGGAGUACUGCCCUAUGGGUUGUAAACCUCUUUUGUCGGGGAGCAAAAGCCGGACGUGUCCGGCUGUGAGAGUACCCGAAGAAAAAGCAUCGGCUAACUCCGUGCCAGCAGCCGCGGGAAUACGGAGGAUCCGAGCGUUAUCCGGAUUUAUUGGGUUUAAAGGGUGCGUAGGCGGUUUGCUAAGUUAGUUGUGAAAUGUCGGGGCUCAACCGCGAAACUGCAGCUGAUACUGUUAGACUUGAGAAGAGUAGAGGUAGGUGGAAUUUGUGGUGUAGCGGGGAAAUGCGUAGAGAUCAGGAAGAACACCGAUUGCGAAGGCAGCUCACUGGACUACAUCUGACGCUGAGGCGCGAAAGCGUGGGGAGCAAACAGGAUUAGAUACCCCAGUAGUC
rnacentral:rRNA from 1 species